CUGUGUUGCCCAGACUGGUCUCAAAACUGGUCUAAGGCUAUCUUCCCUCCUCAGCUUCUCAAAGUAAUAGGAUUAUAGGUCCAGCUGAAAUUUUUUCUUGAUAACCAGAUGUGAUGUACCAGGUAAAAGUAACUGUAACUGCUGUAAAGAGGCCUGCAGUACUAUAAGUAACAUGUGUGGGAAGGGGAAAGGUUCUGUAGUCCUGUGAUUAGGUCUGAGUCCUUUAGGGAGCCUGUGCCUCUGGGCUGUGACCUUCACAAGAGCUUCUCAGCCCUCCCUCCCAUCACCACCCUUACAUGGGACAGGAUGGCCAGAGGUGGGUAAUUUCCUUCCUCCAGGCAGGUUAGGCUCUGAAAACAAAAAACAAAACAAAACAAAACAAAAGAAAACAAAACACCAGUAGCUUAGGUGAAAUAUUUGCCCUUGAGGAAAGACCUUGUUAAGAAGAACAGAAAGCUCUGGUGUACUUCAAGACGGUUCCUUUUCACCUUCCCUUUCUGGAAGCAUGAGGAGAUUUUUCUCCAACAUUCACUGUGAGAACCCAGUCAAGCUAGGUGUCAAACUCACAGAAGUGUGGGGAUCCUUCUCUGUCUGGGUCUUCCUGGAGUUUUUAAUUCUCAGAUGUGUCCACAUCAAACAUCCAACAAUUCGUCAAUUAAGUUUAGGUUUUCCUACCUUGACAACGGUUUCCCCAAAGGCAAGAAAGCAUGCAAACUCUGAAGCACAGUGUAAAACACUUGAAGAGAUACGAGAGGAAAACUUUGUGAAUCUGAAUUCUGCGUGCUAUUGAAGCAUGGUUCUUUUCAAACUCAUGGCAAAUAUACCUCAGAAUUAAACUCUAUAAUUAAGGAAGAAACCCUCAUUCUCCCUGUAAUAACUGAAUACCUAAGCACAUUAAAAGGCCUAAAUAAUC
rnacentral:lncRNA from 1 species